rnacentral:rRNA from 1 species
GACGAACGCUGGCGGCGUGCUUAACACAUGCAAGUCGAACGGAAAGGCCCUGCUUUUGUGGGGUGCUCGAGUGGCGAACGGGUGAGUAACACGUGAGUAACCUGCCCUUGACUUUGGGAUAACUUCAGGAAACUGGGGCUAAUACCGGAUAGGAGCUCCUGCUGCAUGGUGGGGGUUGGAAAGUUUCGGCGGUUGGGGAUGGACUCGCGGCUUAUCAGCUUGUUGGUGGGGUAGUGGCUUACCAAGGCUUUGACGGGUAGCCGGCCUGAGAGGGUGACCGGCGACAUGGGGACUGAGAGACGGACCAGACUCCUACGGGAGGCAGCAGUGGGGAAUAUUGCACAAUGGGCGGAAGCCUGAUGCAGCAACGUCGCGUGCGGGAUGACGGCCUUCGGGUUGUAAACAGCUUUCGAAUGUGACGAAGCGUGAGUGACGGUAAUGAGUAAAGAAGCACCGGCUAACUACGUG